CUUCGGCAGUCCAUGUGUCACAGCCCGCCCAAACCCUAGCGCACAGUAGCCGUCAUUCACCUCCUGCUCGCCCGCAUCCGACUUGCCCGCCGACCACCUCAUCCCUCCUACCGUGUAGCCCUAGCCCCAACCCCUUGGUGGCCUAGCUCCGUCGGUCGGCGGCCAACCGUAGCAGUCGCUCGUCAGCAACAUCACCCAGCCCUAGCCUCACACUGCUCUCACCAGCAGUCGCCAACAACAGCAGCCAGUGGCAGUGAGCAUCCGCGCACAGCACAGCUCCCGCCUUGAUUCCCCGCCCUCCGCUCGCGGCCUCGCGCUCCAGUCACUAACAGGUAGCAUCAGCAAGCAGUGGCAUCGAAGGCGUGGAGACCGGCCAGCCGCCAACGCCCUCUGUAGAUCGCUCGGCCUCUCCAAACGACCAGGGCCAGAAGUAGUGCUAGUCAGUUGAGAUUACUUGAAAUUCAAGUUGUAUUUGAAGUUUUUUAAAAAAUUCGGCCUAAUGUGCUAUGGCCACUAGUUUGAAUUUAAGUUAGAUUUAAAGGUUACACACAAUUUACUAGUUUUAUUAUCUGAAUAGUUGAAUUGGUCUCGUACUAUUGUAAAUAAUGACAAGAAUUGUCAUGUCCAACAAUAGAGCUACAUGCAUGCAUUAAGUUUUUGUGUUUGAAUACAGUAAGGUUUCUUUGUGUUUUAGGUUGUAUACAAUAGAAUGACCAGGCAGAGCUGUGGAUUUGGAAUUAUGACAAUGUCUUUAGCUGAAAAAGUCAGGGUUGUGGUCGAGCAAUUUAAUGAUUAUACAUUUCAUGGAGGACCACUGAGGGUGAACUAUGGGCCACCGCCACCCAUGGCUCUGUUGAGGAGGUCAACAAUGCCAUAUCAAACCUGAUGGCAUCAUAGGUACGCUAGAUGAUUAUGCGAUAUGAAGGGCAUGAACCAAACUGAACCACAAGAUGGAUGAUCUGACCCAGUGCCAGGAUGAGAGAUGCUCACCGAGUGGUCGUCGUUUGACAACACUAGCUUAGUGUUAUUCGAGGCAACUCUUUCACAUGGAUUUUUAAAAUCUGUAGUGUUUAAAGAACCAGAAAUGGAUUUGCUUGUUUCUAAUUCAUUUUGCUUGUUGGAUGUCGAUAUGCACAUGCAUUUUCAGUCAGCUUAUGAUCAAGGGUACAAAUAAGAUCAUGCCAACUCUACUCCAUGUACUGCUGGUGUCACAGGUCCUUAAUGCUUUGUUCAACCUUUGCAAAAUUAAUAAAAGAAGACAUGAACAAGCAACCGAAAAUAGAAUCAUCCCUCACUUGAUGAAAUUUGUCAUGUCAGACUCACCUCUGCGGCAGUAUGCCCUGCCUUUGCUGUGUACUUAAAUCUGCUGGAGGAUGAUGCAUGGGCAUGCACGACAUUAGAUUCUAUUGCUGUUUGUUUGACUCACGAUAAUGAUCACAGAAAAGUGGAAAAAACACUGUUGAAAAAAGAGGCCAUUCAGAAUUUAGUGAAGUUCUUCCAAGAUUGCCCAGAACAGUUUUUUGGCCAUAUAUUGGACGCUUUCUUGAAGAUAAUAACGAAAUCUUCUAGGCUAAAUACAACAAUGGCUACCAAUGGUUUAACAACAUUGCUCAUUGCAAGACUUGACCAUUCAAAUUUGGUGGUCGCAAAAGUGUGGAGACUUGAAUUCAUAUAAUGUGAGGCUUAACAUUAGUGCAAACAGUUGUAUUUUAGUUUAGAUUUAGAGCACACUUAUGUAUGCGUUGUUUGACAAUGCUUAUUUAUGAUAUAUUGAAUGGUACUUAUUUAUAUUAUAUUAAUUAUAAUGUUGUUCAA